GGCGGCGUGCCUAAUACAUGCAAGUCGAGCGAAUGGAUUGAGAGCUUGCUCUCAAGAAGUUAGCGGCGGACGGGUGAGUAACACGUGGGUAACCUGCCCAUAAGACUGGGAUAACUCCGGGAAACCGGGGCUAAUACCGGAUAACAUUUUGAACUGCAUGGUUCGAAAUUGAAAGGCGGCUUCGGCUGUCACUUAUGGAUGGACCCGCGUCGCAUUAGCUAGUUGGUGAGGUAACGGCUCACCAAGGCAACGAUGCGUAGCCGACCUGAGAGGGUGAUCGGCCACACUGGGACUGAGACACGGCCCAGACUCCUACGGGAGGCAGCAGUAGGGAAUCUUCCGCAAUGGACGAAAGUCUGACGGAGCAACGCCGCGUGAGUGAUGAAGGCUUUCGGGUCGUAAAACUCUGUUGUUAGGGAAGAACAAGUGCUAGUUGAAUAAGCUGGCACCUUGACGGUACCUAACCAGAAAGCCACGGCUAACU
rnacentral:rRNA from 1 species